CGGAGGAUCCGAGCGUUAUCCGGAUUUAUUGGGUUUAAAGGGUGCGUAGGCGGACUAGUAAGUCAGUGGUGAAAUCCUGCAGCUUAACUGUAGAAUUGCCGUUGAUACUGUUAGUCUUGAGUACAUUUGAGGUAGGCGGAAUGUGGUGUGUAGCGGUGAAAUGCAUAGAUAUACCACAGAACACCGAUUGCGAAGGCAGCUUACUAAACUGUAACUGACGCUGAGGCACGAAAGCGUGGGUAUCAAACAGGAUU
rnacentral:rRNA from 1 species